GUCCCCAUUCUUUUCCCCAACAGUAUAUUCUUUGUGAUCUCGCCCAAGAAUCUUGACAAUAUGACCUCAUGUGGAAUCUUUAAAGAGAUCUAUUUAAAGCAAGUCACGCCUGAUUUGAGGACAUGGAAAGACCCAUAAUCUUGCCAUACCCAUGAUGGGGAAGUGAGCCCCUAAAAGCAGGGAUCAUAGCAGAGCACUUUGAUUUUUCUGCUUCUUAUUCCUAAACCCAAUGUAGAAAAAAGAAAUGUGGAAAAACGUAGGAUUUUGGCACAUAUUUAAAGGUUGGAAUAUAAUCAUGCUAGAGGCCACCAUGUAAAUAAGGACAAGGACAACUGACACAACUGACCUUAAGUAAAACACCUCAGCUACUACUAUAAUUAUGGGGCACCCUGUGGCUCAGUCAUUUAAGUGUUGGACUCUUGAUUUUGGCUGAGGUCACAGUCUCAUGGGUUGGUAAGAUAGAGCCCUGUGUGGGGCUCUGCACUGACAGUGGGUAACCUGCUUGGGAUUCUCUCCCUCCCUCCCUCUCUGCCCCUCCCCACACCUGUGCACUCCCUUGUGCACGUGCUCACUCUGUCUCAAAAUAAAUAAACAUUUAAAA